rnacentral:misc_RNA from 1 species
UCCUAAACCAGAUAUCAGUAUAACACAGGUGUCAACGUCCAGCAUUUAUCAUUGUCUGCAAUCCCUACUUGGAUUCCUCAACAAUAUCAGACUAAUUACUUAUCAUUCUUUUAUUGUAAGCAUGCUUUUGGAGGACAUAAUUAGAGAACCCUUUGAAUUCAUAGUGCUUUCACAUCGUUUAUCUUCCAUCACAAUCAUAUAUAAUAAGUUCUGUUUCUUUGUAUGAAACUUAUGUGAUAAAUAAUUCCACAUAAAUACAUAAUCAAGCCUCAGAUUAUAGCCCCUUACUAGAGAUAUCAACAUUGAUUUGUGAUAAUUUUAAAAAUAAAAGCAUAAAGCAAGCAGGAAAGAGAAAAGACAGGAAGUGAAGUGACAGAUUGGUUAUAGGAGCAGAAGCUGUUGCAGCCUCUGGGAGGAAAAUAAAAAUAAAGAAAAAGGGGAGAUAGAUGCAUGUGUCGCACCUGUGCUCAUACCCAUAACCAUAUCUCGGACUCCUACUGUGUUAGGAAGGAGGAAGAAGUGGAAUAAAAGAACAAAAGCAAGUAGUAAGUGAUAAAAUGAUUCUAGCACAAGCAGUUUGUAGUUGCUGGGACAGAAGACAAAGGUAAAUGCAUUAGACAAACCUGC